AUCACACGACAGGGGAGCGCCACCAGGCGCUGAGAGUGCGGGCAACCGCAGACCCUCGAACCUGAUCCGGUUAGCACCGGUGGAGGGAGUCGGGAAUCUCGACCG
rnacentral:ncRNA from 2 species